rnacentral:rRNA from 1 species
CAGUAGCCGCGGGAAUACGAAGGGUGCAAGCGUUAAUCGGAAUUACUGGGCGUAAAGCGCGCGUAGGUGGUUUGGUAAGAUGGAUGUGAAAUCCCCGGGCUCAACCUGGGAACUGCAUCCAUAACUGCCUGACUAGAGUACGGUAGAGGGUGGUGGAAUUUCCUGUGUAGCGGUGAAAUGCGUAGAUAUAGGAAGGAACACCAGUGGCGAAGGCGACCACCUGGACUGAUACUGACACUGAGGUGCGAAAGCGUGGGGAGCAAACAGGAUUAGAUACCCGCGUAGUCCCUGUCUCUUAUAU